GUGAAUCAUCGAAUUUUUGAACGCAAAUUGCACUCUUCUCGGAGAGUAUGCCUGUCUGUGGGUCAGACUAUAAAAAUUCGACAUCGUUGCUGUUUCGCGGUGACGUUCGCCGGCAAUUGGGUCAUCUUAAAUCUUUUUGGUUUUAAGCGACCUAAAAUUUUCUUUUGGUUCUAUGAACGUUUUUAAGAUCUAUUUCUUUAUAAGAUUAAGGUAUCGAUCAUUACUAGACGA
rnacentral:misc_RNA from 1 species